rnacentral:rRNA from 1 species
UACGGAGGAUGCGAGCGUUAUCCGGAUUUAUUGGGUUUAAAGGGUGCGUAGGCGGGGUGCCAAGUCAGCGGUAAAAAUGCGGUGCUCAACGCCGUCGAGCCGUUGAAACUGGCGUUCUUGAGUGGGCGAGAAGUAUGCGGAAUGCGUGGUGUAGCGGUGAAAUGCAUAGAUAUAACGCAGAACUCCGAUUGCGAAGGCAGCAUACCGGCGCCCUACUGACGCUGAGGCACGAAAGCGUGGGUAUCGAACAGG